rnacentral:rRNA from 1 species
UCGGGAAUAUUGCGCAAUGGAGGAAACUCUGACGCAGUGACGCCGCGUAUAGGACGAAGGUCUUCGGAUUGUAAACUAUUGUCGUUAGGGAAGAGAAAGGACAGUACCUAAGGAGGAAGCUCCGGCUAACUACGUGCCAGCAGCCGCGGUAAUACGUAGGGAGCGAGCGUUAUCCGGAUUUAUUGGGUGUAAAGGGUGCGUAGACGGGAAUUUAAGUUAGUUGUGAAAUCCCUCGGCUCAACUGAGGAACUGCAACUAAAACUGAAUUUCUUGAGUGCUGGAGAGGAAAGCGGAAUUCCUAGUGUAGCGGUGAAAUGCGUAGAUAUUAGGAGGAACACCAGUGGCGAAGGCGGCUUUCUGGACAGUAACUGACGUUGAGGCACGAAAGUGUGGGGAGCAAACAGG